rnacentral:lncRNA from 1 species
GACUUUAGAUGUAGAGGGAAUACAUUAAAGACAAACUUCUCAUUUUGCAAUUUGGCUUUGGCCCUAAUGGUCAGGCUGUGGUUUUCUGUUUCCUCCUGUGGUGUGGAAUUUAAGUGUGUGAGUUUAAGCACAAAUCACAUGCAUGUCUACGUGCACUUCUGUAUGGCUCAACACCGUCUAACCAGAAAUCCAACUUUACAUAAAGGGAAAAGGAAAUCAGUACAUACAGGGUGCCUUGUGUUUGCCUGGUAAAUUGCAAUCAACAUGUCAUUGAAUCCUGGCAUCCUGUCUGCACUAGGUGUACGUAUUACCUAUUGCUUCACAGUAAAAUUCCCC